CCUACGGGAGGCAGCAGUGAGGAAUAUUGGUCAAUGGGCUUACGCCUGAACCAGCCAAGUCGCGUGAGGGAAGACUGCCCUAUGGGUUGUAAAUCUCUUUUGUCAGGGAGCAACGCCGGCUACGUGUAGCCGGACUGAGAGUCCUUGAAGAAAAAGCAUCGGCAAACCCCGUGCCAGCCGCCGCGGGAAUACGGAGGAUGCGAGCGUUAUCCGAUUAUAUGGGGUUAAAGGGGUGCGUAGGUGGAAUGCCAAGUCAGCGGGAAAAGCGCGGGGCUCAACCUCGCUCCGCCGUUGAAACUGGCCUUCUUGAGUGGGCGAGGACUAUGCAGAAUGCGUGGUGGAGCGGUGAAAUGC
rnacentral:rRNA from 1 species